CGAUACGGGUUGACUUGAGGAAGGUAGGGGAGAAUGGAAUUCCUGGUGGAGCGGUGGAAUGCGCAGAUAUCAGGAGGAACACCAGUGGCGAAGGCGGUUCUCUGGGCCUUUCCUGACGCUGAGGAGCGAAAGCGUGGGGAGCGAACAGGCUUAGAUACCCUGGUAGUCCACGCUGUAAACGGUGGGUACUAGGUGUGGGGUCCAUUCCACGGGUUCCGCGCCGUAGCUAACGCUUUAAGUACCCCGCCUGGGGAGUACGGCCGCAAGGCUAAAACUCAAAGGAAUUGACGGGGCCCCGCACAAGCGGCGGAGCAUGCGGAUUAAUUCGAUGCAACGCGUAGAACCUUACCUGGGUUUGACAUGGAUCGGGAGUGCUCAGAGAUGGGUGUGCCUCUUUUGGGGUCGGUUCACAGGUGGUGCAUGGCUGUCGUCAGCUCGUGUCGUGAGAUGUUGGGUUAAGUCCCGCAACGAGCGCAACCCUUGUUCACUGUUGCCAGCACGUUAUGGUGGGGACUCAGUGGAGACCGCCGGGGUCAACUCGGAGGAAGGUGGGGAUGACGUCAAGUCAUCAUGCCCCUUAUGUCCAGGGCUUCACGCAUGCUACAAUGGCUGGUACAGAGAGUGGCGAGCCUGUGAGGGUGAGCGAAUCUCGGAAAGCCGGUCUCAGUUCGGAUUGGGGUCUGCAACUCGACCUCAUGAAGUCGGAGUCGCUAGUAAUCGCAGAUCAGCAACGCUGCGGUGAAUACGUUCCCGGGGCUUGUACACACCGCCCGU
rnacentral:rRNA from 1 species